GGAGGUUGAUCCUGGCUCAGGACGAACGCUGGCGGCGCGCUUCAUACAUGCAAGUCGAACGUGAAGCCCGGAGCUUGCUCUGGGUGGAAAGUGGCGAACGGGUGAGGAACACGUGAGGAACCUGCCCCGAAGACCGGGAUAACACCGGGAAACCGGUGCUAAUACCGGAUGCCCUCAUCGGAGCUCAUGCUCCGAUGAGGAAAUGGAUUCCGCUUCGGGAUGGCCUCGCGGCCUAUCAGCUUGUUGGUGGGGUAACGGCCCACCAAGGCUUCGACGGGUAGCUGGUCUGAGAGGAUGUCCAGCCACACUGGGACUGAGACACGGCCCAGACUCCUACGGGAGGCAGCAGUAGGGAAUCUUGCGCAAUGAGCGAAAGCUUGACGCAGCGACGCCGCGUGCGGGAUGAGGGCCCUCGGGUCGUAAACCGCUUUCAGCAGGGACGAAACUGACGGUACCUGCAGAAA
rnacentral:rRNA from 1 species